rnacentral:rRNA from 1 species
CAAAAAGUUAGAUGUGAAAUCCCUGGGCUCAACCCAGGAACUGCUAUUUAAAACUAGUGAUCUAGAAUUUGGUAGGGGCCAGUAGAAUUUCCAGUGUAGAGGUGAAAUUCGUAGAUAUUAGAAAGAAUACCAAUUGCGAAGGCAGCUUUCUGGAUCAUUACUGACGCUGAGGAACGAAAGCAUGGGUAGCGAAGAGGAUUAGAUACCCUCGUAGUCCAUGCCGUAAACGAUGUGUGUUAGACGUUGGAAAUUUAUUUUCAGUGUCGCAGCGAAAGCGAUAAACACACCGCCUGGGGAGUACGACCGCAAGGUUAAAACUCAAAUGAAUUGACGGGGACCCGCACAAGUAGUGGAGCAUGUGGUUUAAUUCGAAGAUACGCGCAGAACCUUACCAACACUUGACAUGUUCGUCGCGACUUUAAGAGAUUAAAGUUUUCGGUUCGGCCGGACGAAACACAGGUGCUGCAUGGCU